GUGCUGGCUUUGGCAGCACAUAUACUAAAAUUGGAACGAUACAGAGAUUAGCAUGGUCCCUGCGCAAGGAUGACAUGCAAAUUCAUGAGGUAUUCCUUAUUUUU
ensembl:snRNA U6 U6 spliceosomal RNA